rnacentral:rRNA from 1 species
CUUUAGAGGAAGUAAAAGUCGUAACAAGGUCUCCGUUGGUGAACCAGCGGAGGGAUCAUUACUGAGUUACCGCUCAUCAACCCUUUGUGAACAUACCUUAACUGUUGCUUCGGCGGGUAGGCGUCCCCUAAAAAGGACGUCUCCCGGCCCUCUCCCGUCCGCGGGUGGGGCGCCCGCCGGAGGAUAACCAAACUCUGAUUAACGACGUUUCUUCUGAGUGACACAAGCAAAUAAUCAAAACUUUUAACAACGGAUCUCUUGGUUCUGGCAUCGAUGAAGAACGCAGCGAAAUGCGAUAAGUAAUGUGAAUUGCAGAAUUCAGUGAAUCAUCGAAUCUUUGAACGCACAUUGCGCCCGCCAGCAUUCUGGCGGGCAUGCCUGUUCGAGCGUCAUUUCAACCCUCAAGCUCUGCUUGGUGUUGGGGCUCUACGGUUGACGUAGGCCCUUAAAGGUAGUGGCGGACCCUCUCGGAGCCUCCUUUGCGUAGUAACAUUUCGUCUCGCAUUGGGAUUCGGAGGGACUCUAGCCGUAAAACCCCCAAUUUUACUAAGGUUGACCUCGGAUCAGGUAGGAAUACCCGCUGAACUUAAGCAUAUC